GGAUUAUGGCUCAGCGGUAGAGUGCUCGCCUAGCACGUGUGAGACCCUGGAUUCGAUCCUCAGCACCA
rnacentral:tRNA from 1 species